rnacentral:rRNA from 1 species
CCUACGGGAGGCAGCAGUGAGGAAUAUUGGGCAAUGGAGGCAACUCUGACCCAGCCAUGCCGCGUGAGUGAAGAAGGUUUUCGGAGUGUAAAGCUCUUUCGGAGGGGACGAAGAUGACGGUAGCAGCUAAAGAAGCCCCGGCUAACUUCGUGCCAGCAGCCGCGGUAAUACGAAGGGGGCAAUCGUUGUUCGGAAUUACUGGGCGUAAAGGGAGGGUAGGCGGUUUAGUAAGAGAGUGGUGACAUCCCCGGGCUUAACUUUGGAAUUGCCUUUAGAACUCUUAGACUAGACUUACAGAGAGCCUAGUGGUCUCCCCUGUGUCGCGGUGAACUUCUUAGAUAUUUGG